rnacentral:misc_RNA from 1 species
UUUCCGUAGGUGAACCUGCGGAAGGAUCAUUACAGAGUUCAUGCCCGAAAGGGUAGACCUCCCACCCUUGUGUAUUACUACUUUGUUGCUUUGGCGGGCCGUUAGGCUCCGGCCCGACUACCGGCCCCGGCUGGUAAGCGCCCGCCAGAGGACCCAAAACCCUGAAUAUUAGUGUCGUCUGAGUACUAUAUAAUAGUUAAAACUCUCAACAACGGAUCUCUUGGUUCUG